UACGAAGGGGGCUAGCGUUGCUCGGAAUCACUGGGCGUAAAGGGCGCGUAGGCGGCGUUUUAAGUCGGGGGUGAAAGCCUGUGGCUCAACCACAGAAUGGCCUUCGAUACUGGGACGCUUGAGUAUGGUAGAGGUUGGUGGAACUGCGAGUGUAGAGGUGAAAUUCGUAGAUAUUCGCAAGAACACCAGUGGCGAAGGCGGCUCACUGGACCGGUACUGACGCUGAUGCGCGAAAGCGUGGGGAGCAACGGG
rnacentral:rRNA from 1 species